GAGGGCGAAAGACCAACAACAAUUGAAGUGACAUUCCCACUUUAUAUAAAGUACUUUACAUACAAUACUUUCAAAGUUAAUGAAAUAUGAGCAGCACGAUCGAGUCUUGUUAUUUGUCUUCUCUCAAGAGCAAAAGUACUGGCAAGUUAUCUUCUUCUUAUAAUUGAGUUAGUGAUAUUAUAUUAUUGAAUUUAUUUCUUGUUCCCACGAAUAUUUUUAUGUGCGUAAAAUGUCUCCUCUCGUGUUAUGUUGGUAUGAACCAAAUCACUUCAUACGUGUUCUUUCGCCGUUUUUUAUUUUUAUUUAUUUUUAAUUUUUUUGUAAGCUCCUUAAUUCUAUCAUUGAUUAAGCAUACACCAGGGAGGUGAACGCCCAAACCAGUACAAAAGUAUUCAGUAUCAGAACCACAGAGUUCAACCAGUUCCAGCCAUCUAACUAACUGAAAAGACAGAAAAAUUCACUGUCAAUGCAUUAUGCAGAAUGCACAUAUAUUCUCCUGCAUCUUCUGGUGCACCCCUCUCCGUUCAGCAGCAACAACCAUGCAAACAUCUCCAAUGAUCGAUCUGCCAUAUAUGUGCUCUUUCUUGUAACAACUGCAUGGAAUAUACCACUCCAUUUCCCUGUGCACCACCGACAGUUUUAUGUGCUGCAGCCAGGAUUAAUGUGGAACAAAAAGCUGCCGGAGUAGUUAAGCUGUAAUUUUCAUCGGGGACAAGAGUUAUCAAAAGAAGGAAGGAAGAAAAAAAGAACAUGACCAUCUCCUACAGUUGCUUAAUUUCUCGAGGCUAUUAAUCAAGAACUAGUAGUCGUCAAUAGAAGUCUAAUCGGGGGCAUGCGUCCUAGACACCUAGAUUCUCAUAUUAUAAAGGAGAAGAUAACAUCAAGGAUUAGGUGUUGACAGCGUUGCUACUUGCUACCAAAUAGAAAAAUCAAAAGCAGCCAAAGUUUGCUUGAGUUUCUUUCUUUCUUGCUUUCUUUUUUUUUUAAAAAAAAAAAAAAAUAAGGCUGCUUAGUUUAUUAACAAGAAAGUGUACGUGUGGUAUGAAUGUAGAUUUCCAUUCAUUCAACUACUUCCCUUGCUUAAUUGGAUGAACAAAAUCGGGUUAGAGAAAUUGAGUUCCUGCUCUGUUGUAUGAAUGAAUAGCCAAAAUAACCAUCAAUACAUCUGUUGCAGUGAUGCACUCUACUGUUUUCAUGAGA